rnacentral:tRNA from 1 species
GCGUCUGUAGCUCAGUGGAUAGAGCACUGGCCUCCGAAGCCAGGGGCCACAGGUUCGAUUCCUGUCAGACGCGCCA